rnacentral:rRNA from 1 species
CACGCCCUAAACGAUGGAUACUAGGCGUAAGAGGUAUCGACCCCUCUUGUGCCGUAGCUAACGUGUUAAGUAUCCCGCCUGGGGAGUACGGCCGCAAGGUUGAAACUCAAAUGAAUUGACGGGGACCCGCACAAGCGGUGGAGCAUGUGGAUUAAUUCGAUACUAACCGAAGAACCUUACCCAGGUUUGACAUCAAGAGAUCGGCUAUGAAAGUAGCCUUUCUACUCACAAGGUAGACUCGAAGACACUUGU